rnacentral:rRNA from 1 species
GACGAACGCUGGCGGCGUGCUUAACACAUGCAAGUCGAACGGAAAGGCCUCUUUCGGGGGGUACUCGAGUGGCGAACGGGUGAGUAACACGUGAGUAACCUGCCCUUGACUUUGGGAUAACUUCAGGAAACUGGGGCUAAUACCGGAUAGGAGCUCCUGCUGCAUGGUGGGGGUUGGAAAGUUUCGGCGGUUGGGGAUGGACUCGCGGCUUAUCAGCUUGUUGGUGGGGUAGUGGCUUACCAAGGCUUUGGCGGGUAGCCGGCCUGAGAGGGUGACCGGCCACAUUGGGACUGAGAUACGGCCCAGACUCCUACGGGAGGCAGCAGGGGGGAAUAUUGCACAAUGGGUGGAAGCCUGAUGCAGCAACGCCGGGUGCGGGAUGACGGCCUUCGGGUUGUAAACCGCUUUCGCUCAUGACGAAGCUUUGUGUGACGGUAGUGGGUAAAGAAGCACCGGCUAACUACGUG